UAGAUAGCAAUAUAGGCUUUGCC
rnacentral:piRNA from 1 species